UUUCCGGUUGAUCCCGCCGGAGGCCACUGCUAUUGGGGCUCGACUAAGCCAUGCGAGUCUAUGGACUUCGGUCCAUGGCGGACGGCUCAGUAACACGUGGCUAACCUACCCUCAGGUGGGGGAUAACCUCGGGAAACUGAGGGUAAUACCCCAUAGGGGAAGAGGUCUGGAAUGAUCCUUCCUUGAAAGGACAUCCGCCUGAGGAUGGGGCUGCGUCCGAUUAGGUAGUUGGUGGGGUAAUGGCCCACCAAGCCUACGACCGGUACGGGCCUUGAGAGAGGAAGCCCGGAGAUGGGGACUGAGACACGGCCCCAGGCCCUACGGGGCGCAGCAGGCGCGAAACCCCCACAAUGCACGAAAGUGCGAUGGGGGAACCCCAAGUGCCUAUGCACAGCAUAGGCUUUUCCCAAGUGUAAACAGCUUGGAGAAUAAGGGCUGGGCAAGUCCAGUGCCAGCAGCCGCGGUAACACCGGCGGCCCGAGUGGUGGCCACUCUUAUUGGGCCUAAAGCGUCCGUAGCCGGUCCAGUAAGUCCCUGUUUAAAUCCUACGGCUCAACCGUAGGGCUGGCAGGGAUACUGCUGGACUUGGGACCGGGAGAGGACCGAGGGUACUCCAGGGGGUAGCGGUGAAAUGUGUUGAUCCCUGGAGGACCACCUAU
rnacentral:rRNA from 1 species